CAUCGCGCAAGGCUGGUGAAGCGCUCUCCGGGCCCACGUGACUCCUCCCGGGGCCCCGUCAAAAGAAAGGCGGGGAACACCCUGUCGGUUCCUGUUUCUGGCUUUGUGACAAGACCACUCCAGGAAACAAAUGAGCACUCUCCACCUACAGAAGACGAUGCCCAGAGCAGUCUCAUACUCUGCUAUGGAGGAAGAAGACUGGACAUUCAUAAGGUAUUUGUAUAAAUCCAAGAUAUAAAAAGGCCUUGAGAGUAUUCCGUAAACUACUCUGCCAGACGAGAACUACACAGAUGAAAUAACAGAAAACCAGACUGUGUAAAUGUGCAACUGUGAGGUGCAUCACUAAAGAACUAUGGAAGACACAUGGCUAACACAAGAGUACCUGGGGAACAGCAUGGAGGAGACACACAGGUAACAUGAGAAGAUCAAGCAGCGACCCCCAUCCACGGUGUCUCAGUGUCCUCACCCCCAGUUCUUGGGUUUCUGGGGUUUGUUUUUCCAAUUAUUUUU